UCUCAGGUAGUAUAGAGGUUAGUAUUCGCGCCUGUCAAAAUCGCGAACGCGCGAGACCGGGGUUCGAUUCCCCGCCUGAGAG
rnacentral:tRNA from 1 species